rnacentral:rRNA from 1 species
AUGGUCGACGAGAGCCGACAAGGCAGCACUCCUCAACGCACUUUUCGCUGCCCCAUCUCCUCCUGCUCGACGCGCCCAUCCCAUCGCUGGCUCAUUGGUCGAUCUCGACGCCACCUUGGUCGGCCUCCUGCAGUUCUGCUCAAUCAACACGGUGACUCCGCUCCCCAGCUAGGCGGCUACUUCAGUCCAGCAGCUCACCAUGCUCUACUACCUCAAUCCUCAAGGUGUAUCCUUUUCACUAUCUUUUGUUUAUACAGACGACGCAAAAAUAUGCGUUACGUUUCUCUUUCAGUCCAGCUAGUGCUCUGA